rnacentral:ncRNA from 1 species
GUCGGGAGGGUGCGGAAUACAAUACCCGCAAGGGGAAUAACGCCGGCCUUUUCUAGUAGGUUUUCGAACCUCCCGACCACCCAUU